GAGUUCAGCAUGGUUAGCCAUCAGCUGAGCAUUAAUCUCGGCUUGUGUUGGUGCUCCAUUUAGGUCUCCCAUGUUUUCCUGCGACAAGAGAGGAAAGAAAAGGUGAUUUGCAAAGAAUCAAAGAAGAAGAAAAGAUAUUUAACUAAAGUAUGCAAUGAAUGUAAAACUUCUUUUUUUUUUGUUAAAAUCGAAAAUUUAAAAAUGGGAAAGUACA
rnacentral:lncRNA from 1 species